CGGCGAGUGAAGCGGCAACAGCUCAAAUUUGAAAUCUGGCCCUAGGCCCGAAUUGUAGUUUGCAGAGGACGCUCUGGGCGAGGCGCCUUCCGAGUUCCCUGGAACGGGACGCCAUAGAGGGUGAGAGCCCCGUACGGUCGGACGCCAAGCCUAUGUAGAGCUCCUUCGACGAGUCGAGUAGUUUGGGAAUGCUGCUCAAAACGGGAGGUAUAUGUCUUCUAAAGCUAAAUACCGGCCAGAGACCGAUAGCGCACAAGUAGAGUGAUCGAAAGAUGAAAAGCACUUUGGAAAGAGGGUUAAAGAGUACGUGAAAUUGUUGAAAGGGAAGCGCCCACGACCAGACUUGGGCCUGGCAGACCAACCGGCGUUCUCGCUGGGGCGCGCUGCCAGGCACAGGCCAGCAUCAGCCUGGCGCGGGGGAUAAAGGCGGCGGGAACGUGGCUCCCCUGUGGAGUGUUAUAGCCCACCGUGUAAUGCCCUGGGCCAGGCUGAGGAUCGCGCAUUUGCAAGGAUGCUGGCGUAAUGGUCGCGAGCGACCCGUCUUGAAACACGGACCAAGGAGUCGUCCUCGUAUGCGAGUGUUGGGGUGGUAAACCCCCACGCGGAAUGAAAGUGAACGUAGGUGAGAGCUUCGGCGCAUCACCGACCGAUCCUGAUGUUCUCGGAUGGAUUUGAGUAAGAGCAUACGGGGCCGGACCCGAAAGAAGGUGAACUAUGCCUGUGUAGGGUGAAGCCAGAGGAAACUCUGGUGGAGGCUCGCAGCGGUUCUGACGUGCGAAUCGAUCGUCAAACAUGGGCAUGGGGGCGAAAGACUAAUCGAACCUUCUAGUAGCUGGUUUCCGCCGAAGUUUCCCUCAGGAUAGCAGUGCUGUACUCAGUUUUAUGAGGUAAAGCGAAUGAUUAGGGACUCGGGGGCGCUAUAAUGCCUUCAUCCAUUCUCAAACUUUAAAUAUGUAAGAAGCCCCUGUUGCUUAAUUGAACGGCGGGCAUUCGAAUGUAUCGGCACUAGUGGGCCAUUUUUGGUAAGCAGAACUGGCGAUGCGGGAUGAACCGAACGCGAGGUUAAGGUGCCGGAGUGGACGCUCAUCAGACACCACAAAAGGCGUUAGUACAUCCUGACAGCAGGACGGUGGCCAUGGAAGUCGGAAUCCGCUAAGGACUGUGUAACAACUCACCUGCCGAAUGUACUAGCCCUGAAAAUGGAUGGCGCUCAAGCGUCCCACCCAUACCUCGCCGUCGGGGUUGAAACGAAGCCCCGACGAGUAGGCGGACGUGGAGGUCAGUGACGAAG
rnacentral:rRNA from 1 species